rnacentral:rRNA from 1 species
CCUACGGGAGGCUGCAGUGAGGAAUAUUGGUCAAUGGACGAGAGUCUGAACCAGCCAAGUAGCGUGAAGGAUGACUGCCCUAUGGGUUGUAAACUUCUUUUAUAUGGGAAUAAAACGUUCCACGUGUGGGAUUUUGUAUGUACCAUAUGAAUAAGGAUCGGCUAACUCCGUGCCAGCAGCCGCAGUAAUACGGAGGAUCCGAGCGUUAUCCGGAUUUAUUGGGUUUAAAGGGAGCGUAGGUGGAUUGUUAAGUCAGUUGUGAAAGUUUGUGGCUCAACCGUAAAAUUGCAGUUGAAACUGGCAGUCUUGAGUACAGUAGAGGUGGGCGGAAUUCGUGGUGUAGCGGUGAAAUGCUUAGAUAUCACGAAGAACUCCGAUUGCGAAGGCAGUUCACUGGACUGCAACUGACACUGAGGCUCGAAAGUGUGGGUAUCAAACAGGAUUAGAUACCCUGGUAGUC